GGCAGACGGGUGAGUAACAUGUAGGUAUCUUCCCAUUGGUGAGGAAUAACACGAGGAAACUUGUGCUAAUACCUCAUAAGUCUUUACGGAGAAAGCUUCAUGCGCCGAUGGAUGAGCCUGCACUUGAUUAGUUUGUUGGUAGGGUAAUGGCCUACCAAGACAAUGAUCAAUAGCUGAUUUGAGAGGAUGAUCAGCCACAUUGGGACUGAGACACGGCCCAAACUCCUACGGGAGGCAGCAGUAGGGAAUCUUGCACAAUGGGGGAAACCCUGAUGCAGCGAUGCCGCGUGAGUGAAGAAGGCCUUUGGGUUGUAAAGCUCUUUCGUCGGGGAAGAAAAUGACUGUACCCGAAUAAGAAGGUCCGGCUAACUUCGUGCCAGCAGCCGCGGUAAUACGAAGGGACCUAGCGUAGUUCGGAAUUACCGGGCUUAAAGAGUUCGUAGGUGGUUAAAAAAGUUGGUGGUGAAAUCCCAGAGCUUAACUCUGGAACUGCCAUCAAAACUUUUUAGCUAGAGUAUGAUAGAGGAAAGCAGAAUUUCUAGUGUAGAGGUGAAACUCGUAGAUAUUAGAAAGAAUACCGAUUGCGAAGGCAGCUUUCUGGAUCAUUACUGACACUGAGGAACGAAAGCAUGGGUAGCGAAGAGGAUUAGAUACCCUCGUAGUCCAUGCCGUAAACG
rnacentral:rRNA from 1 species